UCAAAGAGUCCACUUUUCAAGUUGGCAUGUUUUUUGAUAGAAUUCAGUUCCUUUUGGUUGUAGAACCAAGGUCCCCACCUCCCACCCCCCCCCCUUUUUUUUUUGGUAGUUGUCGGACAGAGUUUAUUCUCAGCCCCUAAAGGCUGCUUUCAGAUUCUAUCCACAUGCCCUGCCACAGCAUGGGAACUUGGUUCUCCAAAGCCAGCAGGAGAGUCUCCCUCUAGUCUGCUAUAAUGGAUGGAGACUUAUAUAAUGUCACAUAAUCCAAGAGUUACUAUCCUUUUAUAUUUAGAGGUUCUACCCACACUGAUGCAGAAGGGAACACACAGAGUGUCCAUCAGGUGGCAGGAAUUUUAGGGGCCAUCCUAGAAUUCUGCUGACCACAGACAGGCACAAUAUAUUUAACUGACUUUCAUCUUCAAGCAAAGAGUUGUUCUCCAAAUGGCAAUUGGAAUUUGCAGCAACCUGAGUGAGGAGAGAGAUAAAUUGAAGAAUUGUUAGGCAAAAAUGAACCAGAACUUGAAGACUUGGAAAAUUACCAGCCUAUUUAUAUUGCAAAAUAAUAUCAAAGAAUUUUGGGAAGAGAACAUCAAGGAUAUUGCUGGGCUACAAAGAUCUGCUAGAAAGAUUACAGUUACCAUGGUGCUGCAACUGGCUGAACAUGCUGUUACUAUGGAAACAACAGUGUAUUUCUCCGCAUCUCAUACAUUUUGGAUAUCAUUCAAUGUGGAGGACAGCAGCUGGAACCUAAUGACACCCUGGAGGUCUCUUGGUUACUGUUUUUAGGAAACAGAAAAAAACCUGCCUCAUUCCAGGUAAAACAUAAAAAUAACACUUUAACAGAAAGUGUUCAUCCUGCCUGUAUGCUUCCCCUAAAAUGCCAUGUGAGUAACACAGAUUUAAAUAAAAUUAGGACAUAGGAAUUAACAAGUACACCC
rnacentral:lncRNA from 1 species